rnacentral:rRNA from 1 species
GACGAACGCUGGCGGCGUGCUUAACACAUGCAAGUCGAGCGGAAAGGCCCGUCGUGGUCCUCGAGCGGCGAACGGGGGGAUAACACGUUAGUAAACUGCCCUAGACAUUGGGAUAACCCUCGGAAACGGGGGGUAAUACCUGAUACUCCUUCUAAAUCGCGUGAUUGGGUUUGGCAAGUUUGUCGGUCUGGGAUGGACUCUCGGCCUAUCAGCGUGUUGGUGGGGUAAUGGCCUACCAAGGCGAGGACGGGUAGCCGGCCUGAGAGGGCGACGCGCCACACUGGGACUGAGACACGGCCAAGACUGCUACGGGAGGCAGCAGUGGGGAAUAUUGCACAAUGGGCGGAAGCCUGAUGCAGCGACGCCGCGUGGGGGAGGACGGCCUUCGGGUUGUAAACCUCUUUCAGCAGGGACGAAGAGUAAGUGACGGUACCUGCAGAAGAAGCGCCGGCUAACUACGUG